AGAGUUUGAUCAUGGCUCAGAUUGAACGCUGGCGGCAGGCCUAACACAUGCAAGUCGAACGGUAACAGAAAGAAGCUUGCUGCUUCGCUGACGAGUGGCGGACGGGUGAGUAAUGUCUGGGAAACUGCCUGAUGGAGGGGGAUAACUACUGGAAACGGUAGCUAAUACCGCAUAACGUCGCAAGACCAAAGAGGGGGACCUUCGGGCCUCUUGCCAUCGGAUGUGCCCAGAUGGGAUUAGCUUGUUGGUGGGGUAACGGCUCACCAAGGCGACGAUCCCUAGCUGGUCUGAGAGGAUGACCAGCCACACUGGAACUGAGACACGGUCCAGACUCCUACGGGAGGCAGCAGUGGGGAAUAUUGCACAAUGGGCGCAAGCCUGAUGCAGCCAUGCCGCGUGUAUGAAGAAGGCCUUCGGGUUGUAAAGUACUUUCAGCGGGGAGGAAGGGAGUAAAGUUAAUACCUUUGCUCAUUGACGUUACCCGCAGAAGAAGCACCGGCUAACUCCGUGCCAGCAGCCGCGGUAAUACGGAGGGUGCAAGCGUUAAUCGGAAUUACUGGGCGUAAAGCGCACGCAGGCGGUUUGUUAAGUCAGAUGUGAAAUCCCCGGGCUCAACCUGGGAACUGCAUCUGAUACUGGCAAGCUUGAGUCUCGUAGAGGGGGGUAGAAUUCCAGGUGUAGCGGUGAAAUGCGUAGAGAUCUGGAGGAAUACCGGUGGCGAAGGCGGCCCCCUGGACGAAGACUGACGCUCAGGUGCGAAAGCGUGGGGAGCAAACAGGAUUAGAUACCCUGGUAGUCCACGCCGUAAACGAUGUCGACUUGGAGGUUGUGCCCUUGAGGCGUGGCUUCCGGAGCUAACGCGUUAAGUCGACCGCCUGGGGAGUACGGCCGCAAGGUUAAAACUCAAAUGAAUUGACGGGGGCCCGCACAAGCGGUGGAGCAUGUGGUUUAAUUCGAUGCAACGCGAAGAACCUUACCUGGUCUUGACAUCCACAGAACUUUCCAGAGAUGGAUUGGUGCCUUCGGGAACUGUGAGACAGGUGCUGCAUGGCUGUCGUCAGCUCGUGUUGUGAAAUGUUGGGUUAAGUCCCGCAACGAGCGCAACCCUUAUCCUUUGUUGCCAGCGGUCCGGCCGGGAACUCAAAGGAGACUGCCAGUGAUAAACUGGAGGAAGGUGGGGAUGACGUCAAGUCAUCAUGGCCCUUACGACCAGGGCUACACACGUGCUACAAUGGCGCAUACAAAGAGAAGCGACCUCGCGAGAGCAAGCGGACCUCAUAAAGUGCGUCGUAGUCCGGAUUGGAGUCUGCAACUCGACUCCAUGAAGUCGGAAUCGCUAGUAAUCGUGGAUCAGAAUGCCACGGUGAAUACGUUCCCGGGCCUUGUACACACCGCCCGUCACACCAUGGGAGUGGGUUGCAAAAGAAGUAGGUAGCUUAACCUUCGGGAGGGCGCUUACCACUUUGUGAUUCAUGACUGGGGUGAAGUCGUAACAAGGUAACCGUAGGGGAACCUGCGGUUGGAUCACCU
rnacentral:rRNA from 1 species